rnacentral:sRNA from 1 species
GACACAAAGUAACGUGUAGCCAAGGACAACUUGCCGAUCA